rnacentral:sRNA from 1 species
CAUCACUGUCAGGUGGGACCUGGGCCUUAACAAGAAGAGAAUCGCCUACUUCACUUUGCCCAAGACUGACUCUGACAUGCGGCUCAUGCAGGGGGAUGAGAUAUGCCUGCGGUACAAAGGGGACCUUGCGCCCCUGUGGAAAGGGAUCGGCCACGUCAUCAAGGUCCCUGAUAAUUAUGGCGAUGAGAUCGCCAUUGAGCUGCGGAGCAGCGUGGGUGCACCUGUGGAGGUGACUCACAACUUCCAGGUGGAUUUUGUGUGGAAGUCGACCUCCUUUGACAGGAUGCAGAGCGCAUUGAAAACGUUUGCCGUGGAUGAGACCUCGGUGUCUGGCUACAUCUACCACAAGCUGCUGGGCCACGAGGUGGAGGACGUAAUCAUCAAGUGCCAGCUGCCCAAGCGCUUCACGGCGCAGGGCCUCCCCGACCUCAACCACUCCCAGGUGCGCGCCGUCCUCAGCGCGCGGGGCCUCGCCCAUGGGCCGGGACGCAAGCGGAGGCUGCCCCUAACGGCCGCUUGUAUUGAAGGUUUAUGCCGUGAAGACUGUGCUGCAAAGACCGC